AAUGUCAUAACGACUCUCGGCAACGGAUAUCUCGGCUCUCGCAUCGAUGAAGAACGUAGCGAAAUGCGAUACUUGGUGUGAAUUGCAGAAUCCCGUGAACCAUCGAGUCUUUGAACGCAAGUUGCGCCCGAAGCCAUCAGGCCGAGGGCACGCCUGCCUGGGCGUCACGCAUCGCGUCGCCCCCC
rnacentral:rRNA from 1 species